UACGGGGGGGGCAAGCGUUGUUCGGAAUUACUGGGCGUAAAGGGCUCGUAGGCGGCCAACUAAGUUGGAUGUGAAAGCCCUGGGCUCAACCCAGGAACUGCACCUGAAACUACCAGUCUUGAGUGGUGGAGAGGGAAGUGGAAUUCCUGGUGUAGAGGUGAAAUUCGUAGAUAUCAGGAGGAACACCAGUGGCGAAGGCGGCUUCCUGGACACUAACUGACGCUGAGACGCGAAAGCGUGGGGAGCAAACAGG
rnacentral:rRNA from 1 species